rnacentral:lncRNA from 1 species
UGCCACUACUGUGGUAGAUUUGGUCAUAUAAAACCCUUCUGUUACAGGUUGCAUGGUUAUCCUAACUAGACCCCUCAAGUCAGACCUAAGCAGAAGGCAUCUAAGCUUAAUGCCCCCAUCAAGAAAAUAUCCUAACUAGACCCCUCAAGUCAGACCUAAGCAGAAGGCAUCUAAGCUUAAUGCCCCCAUCAAGAAACAACAAUGGGUUGCUAGAUUAGCUCACACAUCUCUAAGGGAAUCUACCAGAGAAG